rnacentral:rRNA from 1 species
AAUCAACGCUGGCGGCGUGCCUCAGGCAUGCAAGUCGAACGAUUAAGACUUCCUUCGGGAAGUGUAUAAAGUGGCGCACGGGUGAGUAACACGUAAGUAAUCUACCUUCGAGUGGGGAAUAACGUUCGGAAACGAACGCUAAUACCGCAUAAUGCAGCGGCAUCGCAAGAUGACAGUUGUUAAAGGAAUUUAUUUCGCUUGAAGAGGAGCUUGCGGCAGAUUAGCUAGUUGGUAAGGUAACGGCUUACCAAGGCUACGAUCUGUAUCCGGUCUAAGAGGACGGUCGGACACACUGACACUGAAUAACGGGUCAGACUCCUACGGGAGGCAGCAGUCGGGAAUUUUGGCAAUGGGCGAAAGCCUGACCCAGCAACGCCGCGUGAAGGAUGAAGUAUUUCGGUAUGUAAACUUCGAAAGAAUGGGAAGAAUAAAUGACGGUACCAUUUAUAAGCUACCGGCUAACUACGUGCCAGCAGCCGCGGUAAU